rnacentral:sRNA from 1 species
UCCGUAGGUGAACCUGCGGAAGGAUCAUUACAGUAAAUUGCUGUUUCAGACGCGAUGUCUUGGAUUAAAACACUGGUACGAAUAAGAUCUGCCACGGUGGCCUAUGUAUUUAGGCAUCCUCCCAUCACCUAACCAUGUUAAUAUAACUCAAGCGUAACCUUGGUAGAUAUAUUCUCUGCCAGUGGAAGCAUUAAACUCUUUUAAAUUAAACAAGCUUAUAAUUAGUAUUAGUCUGUAUAAUUAAGUCAAUAAUAUUAAAACUUUCAACAACGGAUCUCUUGGUUCUGGCAUCGAUGAAGAACGCAGCGAAAUGCGAUAAGUAGUGUGAAUUGCAGAAUUCAGUGAAUCAUCGAAUUUUUGAACGCACAUUGCGCCCCUUGGUAUCCCGAGGGGCAUGCCUGUUCGAGCGUCAUUUCAAACCCUCAAGCUUUGCUUGGUAUUGGGCUUCAUUCCCUCCUUUUUAUUGAGGUGGUAAUGUGCCUUAAAUGUAGGCAGCGGCAAGUAUUAGUUCCGAGCGUAGCAGUUAAAACAUUUCGCUCUAGGAAUCUCAGUACAUUGUUAGCUAUAUACAAUAAAACUACUAUUUUGACCUCGGAUCAGGUAGGGAUACCCGCUGAACUUAAGCAUAUCAAUAAGCGGAGGACAAGAAACCAACAGGGAUUGCCUUAGUAACGGCGAGUGAAGCGGCAAUAGCUCAAAUUUGAAAUCUGGCGCCUUUAACCGCGUCCGAGUUGUAAUUUGUAGAGGAUGUUUCGGUAUUAGCUUUAAUCUAAGUUCCUUGGAACAGGACGUCGCAGAGGGUGAGAAUCCCGUACGCGAUUAGUAGCUUUUGCCAUGUGAAACUCCUUCGACGAGUCGAGUUGUUUGGGAAUGCAGCUCUAAUUGGGAGGUAAAUUUCUUCUAAAGCUAAAUAUUGGCCAGAGACCGAUAGCGCACAAGUAGAGUGAUCGAAAGAUGAAAAGCACUUUGGAAAGAGAGUUAAAAAGUACGUGAAAUUGUUGAAAGGGAAACGCUUGAAGU